CAGUAGCCACGGUAAUACGGAGGGUGCAAGCGUUGAUCGGAAUUACUGGGCGUAAAGCGCACGCAGGCGGUUUGUUAAGUCAGAUGUGAAAUCCCCAGGCUCAACCUGGGAACUGCAUCUGAUACUGGCGAGCUUGAGUCUCGUAGAGGGGGGUAGAAUUCCAGGUGUAGCGGUGAAAUGCGUAGAGAUCUGGAAGAAUACCGGUGGCGAAGGCGGCCCCCCGGACGAAGACUGACGCUCAGGUGCGAGAGCGUGGGGAGCAAACAGGAUUAGAUACCCGUGUAGUCCCUGUCUCUUAUAC
rnacentral:rRNA from 1 species